AGCUCCAAUAGCGUAUAUUAAAGUUGUUGCAGUUAAAAAGCUCGUAGUUGGAUUUAAGUUUGUUUGUGCGUUGUGAUCGUGAGAUGACGAUGCAUUGAGCAGACAUUAUUUGGGAUUUGGGGUUUCUUGGCAUUCAGUUGUUGAGAUUCAACUGCCCAUCGUUUACUGUGAAAAAAUUAGAGUGUUUAAAGCAGGGGUUUUUCCUUUGGAUAUAUUAGCAUGGAAUAAUAAUAUAUGACUCGUAUGGUCUAUUUUGUUGGUUUGCACAUAUGAGUAAUGAUUAAUAGGGACAGUUGGGGGUAUUCAUAUUUGAGCGUCAGAGGUGAAAUUCUUGGAUCGCUGAAAGAUGAGCUAAGGCGAAAGCAUUUACCAAGGAUGUUUUCAUUA
rnacentral:rRNA from 1 species